rnacentral:rRNA from 1 species
UACGUAGGGUGCGAGCGUUGUCCGGAAUUAUUGGGCGUAAAGAGCUUGUAGGCGGUUUGUCGCGUCUGCCGUGAAAAUUCGAGGCUCAACCUCGAACUUGCGGUGGGUACGGGCAGACUAGAGUGUGGUAGGGGCAGAGGGAAUUCCUGGUGUAGCGGUGAAAUGCGCAGAUAUCAGGAGGAACACCGGUGGCGAAGGCGGGUCUCUGGGCCGAUACUGACGCUGAGGAGCGAAAGCGUGGGGAGCAAACAGG